ensembl:lncRNA novel transcript
GUCGCACGCGCUGGCCAAACGGGCGCACCAGACACUUUUCAGGGCCCUGCCAAAGACCUCCCAAUGUCUACUGGCGUCCCAGACACAAGAGAUCCAGGCCAAGACUCACACUUCACAAGAUACACAGACACGGGCCUUAGGGAACAGGAAAUUCCAUGAAACUUCCAUUUACCCAAUUAGCCGGACUCACUGAGCCCCAGAAUAGGGUUUUCAACCAACUCCUACUAAAAUUAAAAAGUAAUGUGUGGUAUAGAUUGGAAUAAUAGACAUUGGAGGCUACAAACGAUGGGAGGCGGAGAGGGGUGAGGGUUGAAAAAUUACCUAUUGGGUGCAACAUUCACUAUCCGGGUAAUGGGGCACUAGAAGCCCACUCCACCACUAUGCAAUAUAUGUAUUUGUACCCCGUAAAUCUAUAAAAAUAAAAACUACAUUAAAAAUAAUAAUAAUGUCUGGUCAUCUAAAUAGUACCUCUACAGCUUAUUAAGUGCUCUGGAGACGUCCCAGUUGCCUGUCCUUCCCAUUAAAGGUGAUAUCCAGUGCUGAUUUCCCCUUCAACCUCGGGUUCCCAUAAACCUCUUCUUUCUCACUCCUGCUGCCCUCCGGUACUCCAAUAAAGAAUGAUAGAUGGGCCGGGAGCAGUGGCUCACGCCUGUAAUCCCAGCACUUUGGGAGGCCAAGGCGGAUGGAUCACCUGAGGUCAGGAGUUGGAGACCAGCCUGGUCAACAUGGUGAAACCCCGUUUCUACUAAAAUACAAAAAUUAGCUGGGCAUGGUGGCGGGCCUCAGUAAUCCCAGCUACUCAGGAGGCUGAGGCAGGAGAAUCGCUUGAACCCGGGGGCAGAAGUUGCAGUGAGCAGAGAUUGUGCCACUGCACUCCAACCUGGGCGACAGAGCAAGACUCCGUCUCAAAAAAGAAAAAAAGAAAAGAAACAGUCCCAGUAUGCAUCCAUGUGCAUGUGCAUGCAGGUGUAUCUGCCUGUGAGAGCUGCGCACGCGGCUCUGAGUACCUGGGAAGACACCCAUGUACAGAUGCUGUACAUGUGCGGGGUCACUCUCUGGCGCAUUCGGAGGCAUGAGGGCUACGUGCAAUGCGAGGGAACCUAUGUCCAGGCUUCCUUUCUUGGUUUUCCUCCUCUGAACUCAUGCAUCCCUUCACAAACAGUCCAGCUCCUGGCUAAAAACCUAUGUGUGAUUUUUCAGCCCAAACACAGGCAAUGACAGGUUUUACCUGGCAGGCCUCACAGCUGAGUCGUGCACAGCUGAUGCGUUGCAGUCUUUAAAGACAGUUGCAGACACAGACUCAGGCCUCCUGGACAGUCGACCUCUCACACACAUCUCCGCUCCCAACCCAAGUCUUCAUUCAGACACGUCUUCAUUGCAGUGGGGUAGGCCUUCGGCCAGGACCUCCUUAUCUUGGGGAGUGGAGAAUCCUUGAAGACACUUUCCUCCAUGCUGACUCAGAAGUUUUCCCACUCUCCCUUCCCCACCCCAUCCCUGGCCCCCAGGUCCGUACAACUUCAGGAGCCUUUUUGUUGGAAGCUUUUCUGCAGUGAGACCAACCCCACACCUGUGCUCAUCCACCCGACCCCAGUUGGCAUCAUUCUAUGAGGAAAUUAGAACAGGUGGAUCUGUGUUCUACAAAAUAAAACAAACCAGGUUCUCUGGUUUAGCC